rnacentral:rRNA from 1 species
GAUGAACGCUAGCGGCAGGCCUAAUACAUGCAAGUCCAGGGGCAGCGCGGUAGCAAUACUGGCGGCGACCGGCGCACGGGUGCGUAACACGUAUGCAACCUACCUUCAACUGGAGGAUAGCCCGGGGAACUCGGAUUAAUACUCCAUAACACAGGGAUCCCGCAUGGGAAUAUUGUUAAAGCUACGGCGGUUGAAGAUGGGCAUGCGUUCGAUUAGCUAGUUGGUGUAGGUAACCGGCUCACCAAGGCUACGAUCGAUAGGGGGUCUGAGAGGAUGAUCCCCCACACUGGUACUGAGAUACGGACCAGACUCCUACGGGAGCAGCAGUAGGGAAUAUGGUCAAUGGGCGCAAGCCUGAACCAGCCAUGCCGCGUGCAGGAAGAAGGCCCUCUGGGUUGUAAACUGCUUUUGAUAGGGACAAAUGCCACUUGCGAGUGGAGCUGAGUGUACCUAUAGAAUAAGCACCGGCUAACUCCGUGCCAGCAGCCGACGG